rnacentral:ncRNA from 1 species
UGAUAGCUAUGAAGCGUGAGGUUGCUGUCAUGUAUGACAGGUUUUCCGUGGAGCGAAUGUCUGGGGCCGCAGGCCCGAGAAUCUGACGACA